rnacentral:lncRNA from 1 species
AUCGCCGGGUGCGUUCCUGUGUUGCCCACAGGCGGCCUUUUUUCCUCCCUAGCAUGGUGCAGUCGCCUGUUCGCCGCAGAGACUGUAGCCCACAAAGCCUCAGACAUUAAGUUUGUCCACUGGUGCUCUAAUGCUUUUCAUGCCCAUCUGAGAGGCAGGAGGCUGAUAACAUGACGGUGGGAAAGGCCGCAUGAGAUCCUGUUAGCUUCUGUGAGCUGGUUGUGAGCCAUGCGCAGGAAAUGUUUGAGGCGUCUCUUGUCCCGUUUCCCUUGAAACCUGACGCAUCCACAGCUCAGUGCACAGUGACAGGCAUUUACAUAUGUCCUUCUGGUUUUGUCUAUUUUGAAUUUAGUUAUGGGGAAAUUUUUAACAUGUCUCAAAAAGAAAGUAUCUGAGAUGAGUCAAAAAGACUGUAGACUGCGCUUGCCUGAGUGUAGGAAAUCUGGAUCUCACUCCCAGUUGUGCUGGAAACUGGCCAGAGGACAGCAGGAAAGUCCUUUAACCCCCUAGAGGUCUCUCUAAGCGAUAGUGUUGAUUGGUGAAUAACCCAGAUCAUCUCUAGGCACCAUUCAGCCCAGCAGAGACGCUGCUUGUGAAAGGAGCGCGUACUCUGGCCUCCGACAGACCUGGGUGUGAAUCCUGGCUCUGUCGUUUGCUACAGAUGACCUUGGGCAGGUGCUCUGAACCCUCUGGGCCUUAGCCAGGGCAGCUGGAAGUGUGGCUCUAGGAAGGGCCUUCUGAGCUCGUGUUCUCACAGCUCCCGGCACUAAUCAGUGUUUAAUCCGGUGCGGCUAUGAACACUAUGAUCAGCCUGUGAGCCCUUUACUAUAUAGGAUGAGACAUUUUAAACGGCAAAGACCUCCCUGCAGUUUGUUUUAAUGACUUAUUAAUGGCCCAUCAGCUGUGACUUAGUACAUUUGCAUUCUUGCUGAUAACAGGCUCCCCCAGACACUGACUUCUUUGAACCAAGACUUUCCCUACCUGAUAAACCUUCUGCGCCUGUUUUAACUGGAAUUGGCACAGAGAGUGUCUUGCCUUGUCAACACAUCCGAUGGUAAUUUCAUUUUACUGUGCUUAGAGCAAGUGAUAGUGGGGAUUUUGUGCGUCAUAUCAUCUUUCCUCUGUUUUAGCUACUUUCUUUUCUUUCCACCCAUUCUCAAUAAUUUAUUGAGUUGUUUAAUAAUUUUAAUUCUCCUAAGGUAGUUUGUUUUGUUUGGGUUUUUUUUAUGGCUGCACCCGCGGCAUAUGGAGGUUCCCGGGCUAGGGGUGGAAUCAGAGCUGCAGCUGCUGGCCUACACCACAGCCACAGCAACGCUAGGUCCUGAACCCACUGAGCAAGGCCAGGGAUCGAACCCACAACCUCAUGGAUACUAGUCAGGUUUGUAACCCACUGAGCCACAACAGGAACGCCAAGGUUAGUUUUGAUGAGGAGACUUAGACGGAGAAGUUCUAAUAUUUGCUUAGCAUUAUUUUUGUUGAUUUAGAGGUAACAUAAUUUUAGAGACAGUAUUGGGUUGUCAGGACACCGCACUUUCUGUCUUUGAAUCAUUUUCUUCUUUGUUUAUGAAAGUCUAUUGAAUAUUAAUUAUAUACUUUAUUUCAAGCAAACUCAAUGUUAUGAAAUAUUUGUGCUUAUGAUUUGCUUAAUGAAAAAGACACGGGAUUCCUCAAAUAGCCAGCUUUUCUAGUAGAAUCAAGAUAAUGAUUUGAGCUACACACAGCUGUAUAAGCGCAUGUCCCUGCACAGCAUGCUAGACAGGGAUUAGGCCGAGGUCAAGAGCACAGGCUUCGGAGUCAGAGAACACAGCUGCAGCUUAGGGCCUGGCUUUGCCUCUUGUGGCCUGUGGGACCGUACUUCCCGCGGGGGUGAUGGUCCUCAGGGCGGUGGGAAAGAUGAAUGUGAAAUUCUGCCCAGGAGGUGCUUAGCCUGGUGCCCGACAGGCAGCAAGUGCUUCCGGCACAUCCGUUGCUGGUGGAUGAUUUUAGGGAUCAGUACAACGAACUGCUGUCUGUGGCUAGAGACCGGAAUCCUGCUGUCUCUCAAGCUUCAUUUACUGCUCUCUGAUCUCAGACUCCAGCCACAGCGAGCUCGUGGGGCAAGUCCCCUGAAAUUCCACGGCCCCCUCCUGCUCUAAAUGUGUGCCUGUGAUCGUCCGCAUCGAACCUCCUUCUCCUCCCUUCUUUUUCUCCGGACUCACUGCUCCUUCAGGGCUCGGCUGGGGGAGUUCUCCUCCAGGAAGCCUGGGGCGGAGGCUUCGGCCCUCGUGCCUCCCCAGAGGCCCGUGCACACCUCUCUCGGCGUCCACACUGCGGUGUGAGGGGCCGUGUACCCGCAGUCUCUCUAUCGAAGGGCACUGUGUUCGGCUUCAGAAAUGCCGUGUGGUGGUGGACAAGACAGACCUGUUCUCCAGGCAAGUGCAUCCUGCACGUUUGGGGAAGACAAAUAUUUAAAUAAUCGCGAGCAAGCACAGGGCUUCGGGAGAGCCGUGCACGCAGUGGAACAGCAGCAGCUCUGGACCUCCUGUGGACACGCCGGAGAAGCCUUUUGCUAAGGAAGUGGUGUUUAUUUAAGUCGAAACCUGGGAGUCAGCAAGGAAAAAAAAAAGGAAGAGUUCCAGGUAGAGAAACCCGCCUGGGUGGGUGACUUUGGGCCCGUUAUUUAGCUUCUCUGGGCAUCUGCUUUCUCAUUCGUAACAGGGCAGUAGGGUGACUGCCUCCUCGGAUUGCGCUGCGCACAAAUGCGGUUUCAAGCCCUCGUCUUCGGAGGCCUCUUUCUGCUGGGAAGCGCAGUCAGGUCCCAGAGCCCCAUUCCCGGGUCCCGUUUGCUUGUCGAGUUGCCGGGUGUGGGGAUCCACUCACCGUGCCUCUCCUGGUAGCGGGCCCUUGCCCUGUCCCAAAGCCCUGCUCGUGUUUUGAUGACGAGAGCAGGGUGUUCGCUUUUGCUUCCCUGUUCGUUUGUUUGACGUGUGCAGACCCAGCUGUGCCUCUCGUCGCCUGCCCAGCUCCGGCUGUGCCAAAGCUUUGCGGUCCCUGCGUGUUACAGGUUGGAGUCUUUCGCCUUUGAGGAACAGAGACGCCAACUCAGUGACUUAAACAGGCGGGAUUUCAGAUAAUAGGACGUCUGCAAGGCUGGUUGAUGCAGCAGCUCGGGACCCAGGUUCAUUUUAUGUUCCUGCCCUGCCAUGCUCAGAACAUCGGCUUGUCCCCGCUGGCGCCCCCGGUCUCAGGUGGUCUGCUGCCGUCCCGCGUGGCAGCGCGUGUGCGGCGCGUGGCUUCAGGGCAGCGGUAGGUGGGUGUGAUGGAUGGACUCACGGGGUCCUCAAAGGCCACGCUUCCCCUGUAGGGACGCUGUGGUCCAGAAUCGCUCUGUUAAAUGGGGGUCGGUGCCCUCAUUUACACUCUUUUAGAUUAAGUGACUCUUAUUUGCUGUCAUAGAUACUCUUCAGUUAUUUGAGAAAAAGGCUGUGUUUUUCAAAGAGACGAAGAGAAUGUGGGACAUGGUAGGUGUCUCCUGAUAGAGGUCCACAAGCCACCUGUAAAGUAGCCUUGCAGGCUCGAACAGAACCUGAGUUUGUUUAAAAAACAAAAACAAAAAACACCUCUAGACCUUACUAUGGAUUUAGAGGGAAUCCGAGGGACAGAAACACAGUAAAUGUUUUUUUAGGGAUGCAGUCAGUAAAUUCCAAACUACUUUAUGGGACAAACUAGUUUCUUCAACAAAUAAAUAAUAAGGGGGGGGAGGAUGGAGAGGCCUCCUGUAGAUUAAAAAGAGACUUGAGAUGAAUGAACCAAUAGAAAUAUGUGGAUCUGAUUCAAACAAAAACAAUGCAGGGGAAAAUGUGGAUACUGGCUGAUUAUUUUAUGGUAUUAGGAAGCUUAUCGGGAGUUCCCUUUGUGGCUUAGUGGUAACAAACCCGACUAGUAUCCAUGAGGAUGCAGGUUGGAUCCCUGGCCCUGCUCAGUGGGUUCAGGAUCCGGCCCUGCCACGAGCUAUGGUGUAGGUUGCAGACAUGGCUCAUAUCCCACCUUGCUGUGGCUGUGGCAUGGGCUGGCAGCUGCACCUCUGAUUUGACCCCUAGCCUGGGAACUUCCAUAUGCUGCGGGUGUGGCC